CCUACGGGGGGCAGCAGUGAGGAAUAUUGGUCAAUGGGCGAGAGCCUGAACCAGCCAAGUCGCGUGAGGGAGUACUGCCCUAUGGGUUGUAAACCUCUUUUGUCGGGGAGCAAAAGCCGGACGUGUCCGGCUGUGAGAGUACCCGAAGAAAAAGCAUCGGCUAACUCGGUGCCAGCAGCCGCGGUAAUACGGAGGAUGCGAGCGUUAUCCGGAUUUAUUGGGUUUAAAGGGUGCGCAGGCGGAUUUUUAAGUCAGCGGUAAAAUCGUGGGGCUCAACCCCAUCCAGCCGUUGAAACUGGGGAUCUAGAGUGUGCGAGAGGUAUGCGGAAUGCGUGGUGUAGCGGUGAAAUGCAUAGAUAUCACGCAGAACCCCGAUUGCGAAGGCAGCAUACCGGUGCACAACUGACGCUCAGGCACGAAAGCGUGGGUAUCGAACAGGAUUAGAUACCCUUGUAGUC
rnacentral:rRNA from 1 species